rnacentral:lncRNA from 1 species
CCCAGAGGCGGGCAGCAUGCAUAGCUUGAUGGGAGUUGUAACCAGCGAUGUGUGAAUGGGUUGUGUGUGCUUGUGUUGUCUGUUCCAGAGGUGUGGCUCAGAGUUGUGUUGGGGCUGUUUGUGGUGAGGGGCCCAGAGUGUGGGUGCCCAGAGCUGGGAGUUGUUUGAGUGAGGUGAGAUUGUGUGUGUGUGUGUGUGUGUGUGGUCUGGGGCUAGUAGGUGUGUGGAGGCACAGUUGGUGCUGGCCGCUGAGGGAAAGGAGGACUUGGCCCCCCUCCCCCCUUCCCAGCUGCCCUCUUCUCUCUUAUCCCAUUCACAUAACUUGGCUUUUCAGGGUCCCUCCUGGUCUCCUCCUUUGGUCUCCCAUGGCUGCAGGGAGAGGGUGGGAGGGGGAAAUUCGACCGGCCCACCCCUCUCCAGAGCCCCCGGCCCCUGCUGCUCUCCGCUAACCCUCCACCUGCCCUUUUCUCUCAGAUCCUAAGGGCUUGGUGGCACAUCCCUUGCAGCUCCCGGGCUGGGGCAGGGGAAAGGGCUGGAAGACCAAGACCAGCCAUUUCAGAGAGUGAAUGGGAUGGAUUCAAAGUCCUCCCCUCCCCCCCAUUUCCUUCGAGAUCUCUCCACUCUGGUCUUGGGAAGAACUUCGAGGAACGCCUGGCUCCUGGGCCCAAGGUGGGGGAGGGGCCAUUCCAGACUGGGAGAAUGGUCAUCUGACUUCUCUUUUCUGGCAAACGAAGAAUGGGAUUGGAAGGUUGGAGACAGAGGGGAGCAACAACAACAACAACAACAACAAACCUUAUUUGGGACAGGAUGACCAAAGCAGGGAAGAAAGUAAGCCUGCUCACCCCUGUCAGCCCACACCAGCUGUUCCUUCCCUGUGUCCAGGGAACAAGGAGAGGGAAGGGAGCAGAUGCUAUUCUCUUAGCUCUAACCAAAGGCUGUCAUUAAAAGGGGGCCUUAAAGAUCAUUUCUUAGUGGAUCCAAAUUGGAAAGGACCUCAGAGGUCAUCCAGCCCAACCUGUAUUUGGAUAGGUCCCUCCACAGCAUACCCAAAUCAGUCAUCAAGCCUUUGCCAUUGCAGAUCUCCAGAGGUUCAGAAUACUAGGCUCCUCAUUUUGUAG